GACCGCAUAGCUCAGUUGGCAGAGCAUUUGGCUAGUACUCCAAAGGUCGUAGGUUCGAAUCCCACUGUGGCCA
rnacentral:tRNA from 1 species